rnacentral:rRNA from 1 species
UNANACAUGCAAGUCGGGCGGUAAGGCUUUCACAGAUUAUUUGAACGGAUAAGUUCGCCUAAAAAACGAAUACUGUUUGAAGACAUUUUUCACCGGCUGGUGAUGAGUGGUCGAAUAAUGUGUGAAAGUACACGAGCGGCGGACGGCUGAGUAACGCGUAGGAACGUACCCCAAAGUGAGGGAUAAGCACCGGAAACGGUGUCUAAUACCGCAUGUGCUCUAAGGAGUAAAGUCUUCGGACGCUUUGGGAGCGGCCUGCGUAUGAUUAGUUUGUUGGUGAGGUAAAGGCUCACCAAGACUACGAUCAUUAGCUGGUCUGAGAGGAUGAUCAGCCAGACUGGGACUGAGACACGGCCCAGACUCCUACGGGAGGCAGCAGUAGGGAAUUUUCCACAAUGGACGAAAGUCUGAUGGAGCAACGCCGCGUGCAGGAUGAAGGCUUUCGGGUCGUAAACUGCUUUUAUGAGUGAUGAAUUAAGACAGUAACUCAAGAAUAAGGGUCGGCUAACUACGUGCCAGCAGCCGCGGUCAUACGUAGGACCCAAGCGUUAUCCGGAAUUACUGGGCGUAAAGAGUUGUGUAGGCGGCUUAUUAAGCAAGGUGUGAAAUCGUAUGGCUCAACCAUAUAUACAUACUUUGAACUGAUGAGCUAGAGGGCGAGAGAGGUUAUUGGAAUUUCUAGUGUAGGAGUGAAAUCCGUAGAUAUUAGAAGGAACACCGAUGGCGUAGGCAGAUAACUGGCUCGCACCUGACGCUCAGACACGAAAGCGUGGGUAGCAAACGGGAUUAGAUACCCCGGUAGUCCACGCCGUAAACUAUGGAUGCUAGCUGUUAGUCGUAUCGACCCGAUUAGUAGCGAAGCUAACGCGUUAAGCAUCCCGCCUGUGGAGUACGAGCGCAAGCUUAAAACAUAAAGGAAUUGACGGGGACCCGCACAAGCGGUGGAGCGUGUUGUUUAAUUCGAUGAUAAGCGAAGAACCUUACCCAGGCUUGACAUCCUUGAAAGGACUACGAAAGUAGACUGUGCCUUUUGGAAUCAAGUGACAGGUGUUGCAUGGCCGUCGUCAGCUCGUGUCGUGAGAUGUUUGGUUAAGUCCAUCAACGAGCGCAACCCUUAUAGUUAGUUGUAUUUUUCUAGCUAGACUGCCCUGGCAACAGGGAGGAAGGAGGGGAUGAUGUCAGGUCAGUAUUACCCUUAUGUCUGGGGCUACAAACACGCUACAAUGGCCGGUACAAAGGGAAGCCAACCCGCGAGGGGGAGCAAAUCCCAUCAAAGCCGGUCUCAGUUCGGAUUGCAGGCUGAAACUCGCCUGCAUGAAGCUGGAAUCGCUAGUAACGGUAAGUCAGCACAUUACCGUGAAUACGUUCCCGGGUCUUGUACACACCGCCCGUCAAACCAUGGAAGUCGCCAAUACCUGACGUCCUAGCUAGUCUAGGCCCAAGGUAGGGGAGAUGACUGGGGUUAAGUCGUAACAAGGUAAC